UCAAGUUUGCUUGCUUGGAUGGAGAAAUCCGUUCUGCAACAGAACCCCCUCUGCGUAUCUGUAAACUGUUGCUUCCGUCGGCCUGUGGGCCGCGGCGCCGCUUCUGUGGUGACCGUGACCCCCUCCGGUGCCUGGCCGAAAGCGGCCGGCUGGGGAGCUGCCGGCGGUAAGCCAAACCACAAACUCUGCAAGUUCAAGUGACACCUGUCUGAGCUUAGAUGCUACAAAACAACAAGUU
rnacentral:misc_RNA from 1 species